rnacentral:tRNA from 1 species
GGGGACGUGGCGGAAUGGGAAGACGCAUGGAGGUCUGCGAAGGAUGCAUACGAAACAGACUAACCAUUUUGCAGGUUCGAAUCCUGCCGUCCCCACAA